GAGGCUGCACUAACACGGACAGGGGCGUGGGCGGACCCCAGUCUCCGCUUGGAGAGAGAAGGGCAUCGGAACAACGUGGACCAGAGGUUCUGCUGCUGGCUGCUGGCUGCGGCGGCAGUCACAGAAAGGCAGCCAUCGGUCCCUGUGCUGCAGUGAGACGCGCUGGCACCGACAGUCUCUACACAGGAGCGUGUAAGCUGGGCGCUCGAGGACAAGGCCAGUCAUGUGGAAUACAGCAGGCGCGAGCUUGACGGGAGGGCAGCGCGCGGCCAGCUGGGGCUUCUGCAGCCACGAGCUCCUGCCAGGAGCCGGCACGGCCAAUCAGGGGCGAGCCCCGGACUUUGUUCAUGCAUGCUAAUGCUCUCGUCCGAGGAGGGAUCAGCCGGGUUGGGGGUGAGGGUUGCUAUGGAUAUGGCAGCAGCCACACAUUACCUGAGCAGCUAAAGGGCAGCGAGAGCCUCAGGCCGUAAAGUCCGGAUCCAAAACGGGCCGCUGAGGGAGCUGCAAGUUCAGGACAGGAGAAGAAGAAAGUCGGCCGGUGAGGCUGAUCAAAGCAGUGAGGCUCUGCAGGGUGUGCACUUUCAGCAGGACGAGGAGAUGAAAACGGAGCGUUUUGAAACACAACACCUCCCCUUCCCAAGGUUAGCUGUUAUGCAACGCACCUUGAAGCCGUUCCCUGCCUCUACUUACAAGAAUAAGCCUCAAAGUGCUGUUUGUACAGCAGAAGAUUAAAAAAAAAAGCGUUUUUCUCCUUUAAAUUCUAUUGUUGAUAUAAACCAUCAAUUAAGUGGACUUGUAUAAUCUUUUUCUCCUGUAGAAGAGUUUAAUGGACGUCCAUUAUUGCUUCUGGAGAAUAAACAAAGUUGUUUACUGCAAAAACAUUCACACCUCUUAAUCUGACAUUUUAUCAUGUUGGUUAAAUUAUAACAUGAAAGGACAAGGAAUAAUGAUCUUUAUUUUUUUAGAAUAAUAAUCUGAUGUGUGCUAUAAAAAGUAUUUACUCUUUUUAUUGC